rnacentral:rRNA from 1 species
UGAGGAAUCUUGCGCAAUGGGGGCAACCCUGACGCAGCAACGCCGCGUGAGUGAGGAAGGUCUUCGGAUCGUAAAGCUCUGUCGGAUGGAAAGAACCGCAUAGGGGCAAACAGCCCCUGUGUCUGACGGUACCGUCAAAGGAAGCACCGGCUAACUCCGUGCCAGCAGCCGCGGUAAUACGGGGGGUGCAAGCGUUGUUCGGAAUUAUUGGGCGUAAAGAGCGUGUAGGCGGCCGGAUAUGUCAGAUGUGAAAGCCCUGGGCUUAACCCAGGAAGUGCAUUUGAAACUGUCCGGCUCGAGUAGGGGAGAGGGAAGUGGAAUUCCUGGUGUAGAGGUGAAAUUCGUAGAUAUCAGGAGGAACACCGGUGGCGAAGGCGACUUCCUGGCCCUAUACUGACGC